UGCCCCUCUCCUACCUGUUGCGCCCCUUUCAUCCUCCUCAUGUUAUUCUCUCUGUCUCUCUCUCCCCCUAACCUCUCUCUCUCCCUCUCCCAUGGCUUGUAGGAGGUCCCAGUUUCCAUGGAUUUGGGGCUCCAUCGCCAAAACAAGCUGAAACCGAAGAGAUCCACUGCGGGCGCCCUAGAUUUGUCCGUCCCCGCUCAUUCCUAGCCUCUCCGGAGUUCCAGCACUCGGUUUUGGGCUCCCCAAUCUCGGUGCCGCACCCUGCUCUCCCCUUUGUUCGAGUAGAGGAGGACAACGACAUCAACGCUAGCGCCCCCCUGGGUCACGGACUCGUCCCAAGCCCGAGCACUCGCCUCCAAGCCGGCCCAAGCUAGUGCCAAGGACGGGCCUCCCUAACUACUGUUGGGCCGCACUACCAACUAGUUCAUGGACCCUAGUAGAUUUCCGAAACUGAUUCAGAGUGUGAGGAUUCGCUCAAUUACACCCGUUCGUCUACUUCGCGGGUUCGUUCUUCUUCCAAGCGGGAUCUCAGGAAAGAUGAACAUUUCCCUGGAUACCACUACUACCAUUGCCAUGCUAGUUGUCUCCUUUCUGUCAUUAUGUCUCAUUACCUACCACUUGAAUGUGAAGCCCCCCAACAUUGCAACGAAAAGCCUCUAACCCCCUCCACAUCCCAGCAAACCAUUGUUUGGUUAUUUACCACUUUCUCAGCCCUUCAUAUAGUGUUGUUAGUUGCAGCUGCAGAUGGUUCCAUGUGACAACAUGGAUAUCUUGGGUAUCACAAUAUUAUUGGUAUUUAAUUUAAUGCA